rnacentral:rRNA from 1 species
UAACACCGGACGGUCUUUGGUGAUUCAUAGUAACUUUUCGAAUCGCAUGACUUUACGUCGGCGAUGGUUCAUUCAAAUUUCUGCCCUAUCAAGUUUCGAUGGUAGGAUAGAGGCCUACCAUGCUUUUUACGGGUAACGGCGAAUUAGGGUUCGAUUCCGGAGAGGGAGCCUGAGAAACGGCUACCACAUCUAAGGAAGGCAGCAGGCGCGCAAAUUACCCAAUCCUGAUUCAGGGAGGUAGUGACAAUAAAUAACAAUCCAGGACUUCGGUCUUGGAAUUGGAAUGAGAACAAUUUAAAUCUCUUAUCGAGGAACAAUUGGAGGGCAAGUCUGGUGCCAGCAGCCGCGGUAAUUCCAGCUCCAAUAGCGUAUAUUACAGUUGUUGCAGUUAACAUAGCUCGUAGUUGAAUCUUGGGGCUGGUUUGGCGGUCGCGUCUUUGACGUGUACUGUCGGCCGGUUCUUUUACUUGUGGGGAACGUAUGUGCCCUUUGCGGGGUGUGUACGGGAACCAUGGCUGUUACUUUGAAAACAUUAGAGUGUUUAACAGCGGGCGUAAGCUUGUAUACCAUUAGCAUGGAAUACUAGGAAUAGGACUUUGGUUUAUUCGUGGUUCUAGGGCCGAAGUAACUGAUUACUAGGGAAUAGUCGGGGGGCAUUAGUAUUUACUAGUCAGAGGUGAAAUUCUUGGUUUAUGAAAGAUUAACUUCUGCGAAAAGCAUUUUGGCCAAGGGAUGGUUCCAUUGAUCCAAGGAACGGAAAAGUUCAGGGGGAUCCGAC